AUUGAACGCUGGCGGCAUGCUUUACACAUGCAAGUCGAACGGUAACAGGCCGCAAGGUGCUGACGAGUGGCGAACGGGUGAGUAAUGCAUCGGAACGUGCCCAGUCGUGGGGGAUAACUACUCGAAAGAGUAGCUAAUACCGCAUACGAUCUAUGGAUGAAAGCGGGGGACCGUAAGGCCUCGCGCGAUUGGAGCGGCCGAUGUCAGAUUAGGUAGUUGGUGGGGUAAAGGCUCACCAAGCCAACGAUCUGUAGCUGGUCUGAGAGGACGACCAGCCACACUGGGACUGGGACACGGCCCAGACUCCUACGGGAGGCAGCAGUGGGGAAUUUUGGACAAUGGGCGCAAGCCUGAUCCAGCAAUGCCGCGUGCAGGAAGAAGGCCUUCGGGUUGUAAACUGCUUUUGUACGGAACGAAACGGCUCUGGUUAAUACCCGGGGCUAAUGACGGUACCGUAAGAAUAAGCACCAGCUAACUACGUG
rnacentral:rRNA from 1 species